GAGUUUGAUCCUGGCUCAGGACGAACGCUGGCGGCGUGCCUAACACAUGCAAGUCGAACGGAGAUUUCAGCAAUGAAAUCUUAGUGGCGAACGGGUGAGUAACGCGUAGACAACCUACCUUCUAGAUGGGGACAACACUGGGAAACUAGUGCUAAUACCGAAUGUUGUAUUUUGGUUGCAUAAUCGAAAUACUAAAGAUGGCCUCUAUUUAUAAGCUAUCACUAGAAGAUGGGUCUGCGUCUGAUUAGCUAGUUGGUGAGGUAAUGGCUCACCAAGGCGACGAUCAGUAGCCGGUCUGAGAGGAUGAACGGCCACACUGGGACUGAGACAC
rnacentral:rRNA from 1 species